ensembl:snRNA U6 U6 spliceosomal RNA
CUGCUUUGGCAGCACAUAUACUAUAACUGGAAUGAUACAGAGAAGAUUAACAUGGCCCCUGUGCAAGGAUAACAUGUAAAUUCAUGAAGAUUUACAUAUUUUU